rnacentral:rRNA from 1 species
ACGAACGCUGGCGGCAGGCCUAACACCUGCCAGUCGCGCGCGCCCUUCGGGGUGAGCGGCGGACGGGUGAGUCACGCGUGGGAACGUGCCCUUUUCUACGGAAUAGCCUCGGGAAACUGAGAGUAAUACCGUAUACGCCCUUUGGGGGAAAGAUUUAUCGGAAAAGGAUCGGCCCGCGUUGGAUUAGGUAGUUGGUGGGGUAAUGGCCUACCAAGCCGACGAUCCAUAGCUGGUUUGAGAGGAUGAUCAGCCACACUGGGACUGAGACACGGCCCAGACUCCUACGGGAGGCAGCAGUGGGGAAUCUUAGACAAUGGGGGCAACCCUGAUCGAGCCAUGCCGCGUGAGUGAUGAAGGCCUUAGGGUUGUAAAGCUCUUUCAGCUGGGAAGAUAAUGACGGUACCAGCAGAAGAAGCCCCGGCUAACUCCGUG